CCGCACGCGCGAACUGUGUCGCAAAAGGCCAACUCCGGAGUGCCGGCUUGUAGGGAGCGACCCUCACAAGCAUGUGCGAAUGAGCACAAAUGGCAAGCAAGCAAAGUCAUCGUCUCAACGAUCCGGUCAUCAUGGCUCUACCAUGGAAAUGAUCGCUAGCAACUCAUAGGUCUAGUCCAAUGUCCCAAGUGAAGGUUUAACCGUUCAAUAAUUCCAAUGCCCUUUCGUGACCUUAGAUUUACUAAGUCCAUACAUAUUCCAAGCCUAAUGCCUCUUUAUGACAUUAGCUUACUAUUAACAUACGUGUCCCGAGCUCAAUGCCGCUUUAUGGCAUUAGCUCAUACAUGCAUACACUCUAGCCUAUGUCACUUAAUGACAAAAUGUCCAACAACGCCAAGCAUGCGUUCUAAGUCCAAGAGUGUAACCUACAUGUCAUAUGCACUAUAUGCAACAUGAUCUCAAUCACAUGUAAGAAUGCUAACCAUAUGCAAGGUUCCAAUCCUGAAUAGUUCUCUACUACAUAGAGGUCCAAUGUACUUUAUACAUAACAUGUACAUAUUAAGCAUUCUAAAAUUCUCAAAUAUUCUAUCUAGUAAGAAUAUACAUGCAUUUCCAGUAUACGAAAAGUAAAAACCAAUAAGGGAUGAUUUAUCCCAUUUUUUGGUGAGGCCAAACCCAUCACAACUCUUGCGCUCCU
rnacentral:lncRNA from 1 species